UGUGAGGUCGGAGAAGGGGUUGCGAGAAAGGAAAGCAGGACGCGAGGGAUGGGUGUGGCUCCAGGUUUGGCCUCGCGGCGAGCUGCUGUGGAGGUUUUUGCUGAAGUUCAGCUUCAGGAUUGAAUCAGGCCAGACCAACAUCGGACCAACAUCACGACCUGCUUGUCUACCCAGAGACAACUGAUCUGCAGAGAGCUUAACCUGUCCCAAACUGACUGAAGACAGAAGAGGACCAGACUAUGGUCACAUGCCACCCUCCAGGCAGCUGCUGGAUCAUUGUCCUGCCUUAUUGACUCAAAGAGCUUGUCACAGAUAAACAGGUCACCUCUGAAUCAGGUCCGCUUUAGACAAUAGCUUUCAUCAGCCCCCUCCUAAGACUGAGAGACAUGGCCUGGCCACCUCUGGGUUUAAUCGGACCCAUUGGAUUAAAGCUGAGCAGACAGUGAGGUUGACAGAUCUGAAUUCAGGGGCUGCAAUGAGCUCAGAAAAUCAUGCAUUCUCUCUCCAACUUAGGACCCACCAGGUGGAGGGGAUGUUGCCCCAGGUGCUAUAAAGGUGGGACUUGGUCUCCAAGGAAGAUACCUUCUAUGGAGAGUCUUUCCCAGAUUGUCUCACGUAGCCAUAACAGCCAGAAGCAAGGCAAAGAGAGAAGGGACCUGUCUGAGAAAAUCCAGUGUAUUGUAAACAGGGUAAAAGGCACUGGGAAACCCUACUUACCUCAAGUGAAUGUGGCCCCAGGUCAUCUGAAAGUUGAAUGGCCUACUAGGAGCCCUGGAUGAGGGAGAAAAAAAUUCCUGAUCAACCUGCUCACCUGUAUACAGGGCCAGGGCAAAGGUCUUGCUUCUUAUUUUGCUAAACGAUUCCCAUAGCCCUUUGGCAUUCAGAGGGACCACAAUAUAGCUUCUAGGAAGAGCCCUCCCCUGACCAGAAAAAUGGAUUUUGGUGUCUCCUGGUUCAGGCAGCUGUCUAUAUCGCAUUCUUAGAAGGAAUACAAGUCUGAGGGAAGAAGACUUAGAUGCAAGGGACUGAAUGAAAAAUGCUAAUCAGAGAGCUUAAGAACAAUGACCUGGGCCUGGAGAGUGUGGCUUAAUGGUAGAAUACCAGAGCGCACAAGGCACUGAGGUUGAUCUUCAGCAUGGGGGAAAGCACCACCAAUGCACUACAGAUCUUUAUUGUUAGUGUAUAUGUAUCUCAAGAAAGAAGGAAACUGGUUCAGAGGGACUGAGCAAGGUGUUUAAAAUCGAUGAUCUCAUGACCUAAGGAAUAUUGCCAAGUAUUCCAGCUAAUAGCCACAGGACGCUACUGAGCACCUAACCUGUGCCUGGCACACGUCGCAGAAUGGAUGUGUUGUUCUCCUUCCUCCUCACCCCACCUCCAAUGCUAACACAAAGCCUCCUCCUUAGUGAGCCUAGGAUCUACUACUGAGCUCUACCACAGCCCUUGCUCGUUCUAAUUCUCUUUUCUUUCUUUUUUACAUCUCUUUGAAAUUUCAGGACACAGCCAACAUUUGCAGCUCCCACAGCUUUCUGUCCAUCGGUGCUGGCUUGGAGCACACUUUUUUUUUCUCUUAAGAUUUAUUUUUAUUUUAUGUGCGUGUUUUGCCUGCGUGUAUGUCUGUGCACCAUGUGCGUGCCUGGUGCCCACGGAGGCCAGAAGAGGGCAUUAGGUCCCCUGGACCUGAAGUUACCGGUGGUUGUCAGCCACCGUGCUGACACUGAGAACAGAACCCUUGUCUUCUGCACAAACAGCAGUUUCUCUUAAAAUGCCCAAGCCAACUCUCCAGCCCCACCUUUGGCUCUUUGAAAGCAUAAUGCUAUCUCUCUUCCUCCUGUGCUGCUCCCUCCUCCCCAGACUCACUGAGUCACAAGCUGCCCUCAGUCCUUCAGACCCUGAAAUCUCUGAAGUAGGCUCCUCUGAGAUCAGGGUGGGGUGUGUGGACAAUCACAAAAGGUUUCCUGUUGAACAUGAAUAAGGCUUCAGGACAAGAUCCAGCGGAAGACACCCAAAGGCAUAAAAGUUACGAGUGAUUUCCACUGGGGUGACCCAGGUGGCAUGAGCAUAGGGGCCCCUCCUCCCUCUCCCCGAUGCUUCUCUCCUUGGGUUUCAACAGGGUGUUUUCAGUGGCUACCCCACGACUGCAGAACUUCAGAACUAAACCAGCAGUCCCAGGGUGCUCUAACACCCCUGCUUCUGUGGCAACGCUCAUUCAACAUCCGCAGAGGCAGCCUGUGACCCCCAACACCCAACUCCAAAUAAGGCAACUGCAAGCCCUGGUUGAGAAAGGAGCAAAGUCCUCUUUCUCCCUUGCCCCAUGCUCAACUAGCUGCCCCUCCGGGAGACAAGCUCCAGUAAUGUCGGUAAUCUUGCAGCUUUGAAGGAAGUACCCAGGACCCCUGAGGCAUGAGGCCCGAAAGAAGCCCUCUGAGGAGAGGGCCAGACGACAGCCAUCCCUCAGAGGCCUCCUUCUCGCUGCAGGCCAUGGGGCCAACAUGUCCCAACACUGCCAGGCUUCCUUGCACAAGGCAGACCUCACAGAGUGAGGGGGACAUGAAGCUCGACAGGAGGAUCGGGACUCAUCCAUCAUGAACCGUCAAACAGCAGGGCCAUAGCCUGCCUGAACACUUGCCUAGUUAAAUGAACUUCUGUGCUUCACCUACCCCCAGCACCUCAGCCUCCUAGAAACAAGCACAUUCCACUAAGGGGGGGAUUAGAGGGUCAGCAACCUAGACUGGCCCCCAGCCUGCUCUCCCACAGCGCUAGGACGGAAUAUCCUUAUACCCCCACCCUUAAAUGGAGCUGUAGCUAGGAAGCCCAAGGCAAAAUAGAAAUUGAUGGGGCCUUUCUGUCUGUCCCUGUUUUAAAGAAAAUAGCAUACUUUGAAAGGUAAUCUUUAUUACCAUUGUUGUUGUUAAAGUCAGGAAAGCUGAAUUCUACCGAGGGUCUCCAAACCUUGUUUAUGCCAAGAGCUGGGGGCUGGAGAACAGGGAGAUUGUCUUACAUAGGAAUAGACAACAGAGGACCAGCUGGGGUGUCCUUCCCUCCCAUUCCGGCACCUGGACCUGCUGCUCCUCCUGAGUUGUAAGAAGCCAGCCACUGAGGCACGGAUCUAGUCCUGUUUUAUAUACCAUUUCCUCUGCCCUGACUUCAGCUAUGUAUGUACAGCCACGGCCACAAAAUAUUAAAUGGAAGAUUCCAGAGAUAA